UACGGAGGGUGCAAGCGUUAUCCGGAUUCAUUGGGUUUAAAGGGUGCGUAGGCGGGCUAUUAAGUCAGUGGUGAAAUCCUGCAGCUUAACUGCAGAACUGCCGUUGAUACUGAUAGUCUUGAGUUUGGUUAAGGUAGGCGGAAUGUGUAAUGUAGCGGUGAAAUGCUUAGAUAUUACACAGAACACCAAUUGCGUAGGCAGCUUACUGAGCCGACACUGACGCUGAGGCACGAAAGCGUGGGGAGUCAAACAGGAUUA
rnacentral:rRNA from 1 species